UACAAAGGGACUAUUAUGGAUAUUUAAGCUAUGUAUAACAGAGAUUUAAUUUAUUAAAAAAAUAUUAACUCUAAGAGAAAUUCUUUAGUAAACGAAGUGAAGUGAAUUAUCUUAGUAACUUCAGGAAAAUAAAUCAAAAGAGAUUCUAUGAGUAGUGUGAAUGAAAAUAGAGGAGCCUAUAGUUAUAAACUAUGCAACAAAGUAAAAUUCAGUUUGAAUAUUACGGGGAACCUUCCUCAAAGGCUAAAUAUUAUACAUAAGCGAUAGAGAACAUAAGUACCGUGAGGGAAAUAAUAAUUUGAAAUAGUAGUUUUAUAAGCAGUUCGAGCAAUUUUAUGAGCAAGAACGUACCUUUUGCAUAAUGGGUCACCAAGUUAACAUUAGAUACAAGUUUUAGCGUAGCUAAACCAAUUAUCAAAAAAAUGAGUAGUAUCUAAUGUUAGACCCGAAGCCUGGUGAUCUUACCAUAAUCAGGAUGUAAACAGUCCGAACGGAAUAUCGUAGCAUAGAUAUCCGAAGAAUUAGGGUAAGUUUAGUGAAAGACAAACCUGACCAGGAUAGCUGGUUUUCUGCGAAACCUAUAAAAGUAGGCAAUUCAAACAACAUCUUAGCAGGUACAGAACUUAAUCUCUGACAAGGUGUAAAUAUUUUUAAUAAAAAUACAUUUUAACUUGUAUAUAUCGGGGAAUCGUGAAGAUUUUAUCGGUGAGUAUGUAGACUCGAAAUGGCAAAGAUGAAUGUUGAAUUAUCAGACAUAGAGUGCUAAGGUUGUAUGUCAAAAGGGAAACAGCCCAGAACAAGAUUUAAGGUUCCAAAAUUAUUAGUUAAGUGAAAUUAAGAAGGUUUUUAAUUGAGUCGACAAGAAGAUGGGCUUAGAAGCAGCCAUAAUUUUAUGAAUUCGUAACAGAGCGCUUGUUAAUUUUUAGAGGCAUCGAAAAUUUAACGGAUCUAAACAAUAUACCGACAUCUUGUCCAUUUUUAAUAGUGAUGAUAUCAUCACUGUUAUAUUAUGGGGUAGCAGAACGUUGAGUUUAUAUUAGAUUUAUCUUUUUUAAAGAUAAAUAUAGUGAGAUAACUCAAGUGAGAAUGGUGACAUAAGUAACUAAAAGAAGAAGAGUAAUAGUCUAAAAAUUAGGCUAUUAUGUAAUUCUCCGCCUUAAGCUUAUGGAUUUUUAAGUAACGGCCUCUAAAUUAAAAAUCUAAAGAUUUUGAUGAUGAGAAAAUCUUUAUUACUAAACAACAUUUAAAGUGUUAAAUGUGCUGGAAAAAGAGUAAUAUUAAAAACCGUACCUAGAAACUGAAAAAAGUAAGCUAGUAGAGUAUACGAAGGCGUAUAAUGAGCUAACAAUCAUAAAGGAACUCGGCAAAUUGACUACGUAACUUCGGAAUAAGGAGGUCUCAUUAGUCUUGAUUAAUAUCAGGUAAAAAGGAAGAAGCAUGAAAUAGUGUUGUACGACUGUUUAAUUAAAACACAGCACUUUGCUCAAAGAUUAAAAAUCUAAGUAUUGAGUGUGAUGUCUGCCCAAUCCCGGCUGGUUAACAGAUAUAACUAAAUUUUUUAAGAGAGUUUGGUGUUGACGGAACCCCCGGUCAAUGGCGGCCUUAACGUGAGGGUCCUAAGGUAGCGAAAUGCCUUGGCCGUUAAAUGCGGUCUUGCAUGAAUGAUUUAACGAUACAACAGCUGUCUCUAUGAUUGACUCAGUGAACUUGGAAUAACUGUGAAGAUACAGUUUACCUCUAGUUGGACGAGAAGACCCUAUGCAGCUUUACUGUUACUAAUUAUAGGGUACGGAAUCAAAUAUGUUUAGAUUAUAAGGUAAAUUAGGUAAUACAAAUGGAAAUCCUUUAUAUUUAUUCCGUAUUUAUGAACUAAUUUACUAAUAUUUGGAAACGAAUAUUGGUCAAUUAACCUAGUUCAGCUUUUUUUUUUAAGAAGUAGCCUUAGGUAAGGAACUUAUCGUUAGGAGACAGUUUAUGCGGGGCACAGAC
rnacentral:rRNA from 1 species